rnacentral:rRNA from 1 species
GAUAAACGCUAGCGGCAGGCUUAACACAUGCAAGUCGAGGGGCAGCAUAGAUUGUAGCAAUACAAUUGGUGGCGACCGGCGCACGGGUGCGUAACGCGUAUGCAACCGACCCGUCACAGGGGGAUAAUCCGGAGAAAUCUGGUCUAAUACCCCAUAACAUAUGGAUCGGCAUCGGUUCAUGUUGAAAUUUUCGGAGGUGACGGAUGGGCAUGCGUAGCAUUAGCUUGUUGGUGAGGUAACGGCUCACCAAGGCGACGAUGCUUAGGGGGACUGAGAGGUUUCCCCCCCACACCGGUACUGAGACACGGACCAGACUCCUACGGGAGGCAGCAGUGAGGAAUAUUGGUCAAUGGGCGCAAGCCUGAACCAGCCAUGCCGCGUGCAGGAUGACGGCUCUAUGAGUUGUAAACUGCUUUUGUACGAGGGUAAAGUGGGUUACGUGUAACCUUUUGAAAGUAUCGUACGAAUAAGGAUCGGCUAACUCCGUGCCAGCCGCCCGCAGUAA